CUUCUAUUUUUUAAUCAUCUCCCUAUUUCCCAAAUUAUAAAAGUAUAAAGAAAUUGUUUUUCCUGAAAGAUUAAAUUAAAUCGUAUAACGCUUUCCAAGUAAAUCAUGCCACCAAAAUCAAGAAAGACCAAGGCUUCACAACAACUUCGAAAAGGAGCUAGUGGUGCUGCCAACCAGAAUGACUUACUUAUUAUCCAGGCUCUUAUACUUAGAUCUCAAUAAACCUUCGAACCUGAUUGAGAUUACUAUCUAGAACAACAGAAAAGGCGGUAACAUGUGGAUUUAUUCAGAUCAUAAACAAAGGCUUUUACCUCUUUCCCACAACCGCAACUGAAUCUAUAAAAACUGAAAUAUUUAAUGAUAGCUUGCGUCAAGAUAUUGCCAGGACCGUGAUGUAGAUAUAGGAGAUCGAGAGGUCGUGGCCUACUUCUGGGAUGUUUGAAUUCGCGACUUGUAGCCCUAGUUGGCAGCUGAUGCCCUGGCUAGGAAAAUAAACAGGCAACAAGAACGCGCGGUGCUGGCAACUCAGUUGCGAGGCCCGGCAUACUCGUCGCCAACCAUCUUGAGUCGAAGAGAGGAGGAAAAACUAUCCCCGGGAGCUUCGUGAGUGCGGCGAGUUUUGAACGUUUGAGUGACAAACCACAAAUGAAUUUAUCCAUACCAGAUUGCUUUUCAAUCCUGUUUGUCGAAUUCCUUGGCUUUUGGAGGCACUGGAGAUCGCGCCCACAGGAGACUACGAUCCCGCUAGGUCCAAACGAAUCCGGCGCAAGCUCCCGAACACCGGCACCACUAUUGCGGGCCUUACGAUCCGUGAUGGCGUCAUCAUUGCCACCCACAUCAGGGAGACAAGCGGCUCCAUGAUUCGCACAGGUCGUUCAAAGAAAAUAUUUCGCCUGCACGAUAACAUCUAUGCAGCUGGAGCUGGCACCGCCGAUGAUAUAUGUAGAUGCCGUUGCACGUCUUCUUCGGGCACAGCUUAACCAUAUUCGGAUGACAAUGUGCACAGAGGUGCCAGUUGUGCGCGCUAAACAUAUAAUUAAAAGGCUGAUUUACCGCUUUAAGCACGUAAACAGGAUGAACUGGAUAAUCGCCGCCGUAGACAGGGGUCGAGCCUCGAUUUAUAGUAUCCGUUUUAGCGGCGCCAGUAAUCCUGUCCCCUACGUAUUGCUGGGACUCUGCUACGCUAGAGUCGCGCUGGAAAGAAAACCUGGACGAAAAGGAAGCGACGCGCUUGAUUAUUGAUGCGGUUCGCGCUGCCAUCCAGACCGAUCGUGGCACACAGAGACAAGACCGUCCGGGUCUACCGUCCAUUUCUGCGUCAUCCGAAAUGACUACGUGGUAAGGCAGGGAUACAACGUCGUCGUCGAGAUUUCCCACCGUAUACGGUACAAGAGGGUGUCUGGGAAGUAGUUCACAAACAAUGGACAAAAAAAAACAAAAUGAACAAAAUGCAGUUUCAGCCGAAUUCGGUUAACUAAUAAAAUUUGGGAAACUUCAGUGGUUCAUUUGUAUGUA